AGACUUGACGCAGUUUCAUCUCAUUCCUGAGGUAUCCUGAGCCCCUCAGUGCCAUACUUCUGCGUGAGUGCUGUGAACUGGAGCAAAUGGGUUGAAAAUGGCCAGAAGUUGCUCUUGGUCUCUUUAGAUCUUUUAUGACAAAGAAAAAAAAUUGAAUUUCUGACCAGUUAAAAUCCAUUUGAGCCAGUUUAAGCUAAUUAUGCAGAACUGGAGCCCGAGGUCGGUAAAUCCAGGAAGACGGCUGAAUACUAUGCUGACUCAAGUACAGACAAGGAGCCAGCUUUCUUGGAUUCCAGCUUCACUUCUUCCUUGACUUCACCCUGGCCCUGUGGUGACUGGAGGCUUUGUUGUAUGAUGAGAAAACCAAGGCUCCAAGAGCUUCUGUGACUUGUCCAAGACCAUGCAGUUAGUGCACAGUGAGGCACAGAAUCAGUUGUAGAAGCACUUCAGGGAAUUCGGAUACUAUUUUGUGGCCUGGCAAGAUCAGCAGCCUUACUAUCUUAGUCCCUGCCAGUCAUCAGCUUCUGGUUUCCCUGUUAUCCUGCUGCUCCCUAGAAUGCAGCUAUUAAGUGGCCUAAGAGCCAGCACCUUCACGGAGUAGCAAAGGUUCAGCCUAUGGAAAUUCCCAAUGCUUGAACUAACAGCAAUAGUGAUCUAUAUAGUCUCAAGGAGGCUGAUGCUUGUGUUGGAGGCCUUCUGAGCAUCUUCCAUAUCCAUCUGGCCUUAUAAACACUUUUUUUCCUCUGCUGUACACAAGGAAUGAACCAUAAAAGCAGAAACUCCAUCAUUCUUAUGAACCAUUUACAUGUGACCUCUACUUCAAUAUUACUUUGCCUGUUUGAGCUUUACUUUGCAUAGUGUCUUGCUCAGUCUGGUCACUGUGGAUGAGAACCACAUUGUUGAAAAGCCCUUUAAUAUGUGGACUGUUGAAAAUUGUUGUGCAGUUGAGCCAGUGGGUUCUGCUGGCUCUGGGAUGAGGGCUUCACCUCAUGUACUUGCACUGCCCUUAUACUAGUUACUGCUAACCUCAGAAUCAGGUUGAGAAUUCAAAGAAAAUCAAACCCUUAUGUGUUGCCCUAAGGCAAAACUGUCCCUCUUACUACCUUAAGUGCCCGAUUUCCAUUAACCACUUUUUUUUUCUUGGUGAAAAUUAAUACCAUAUUGAAGGAAGAUAAAGUCACAUGGUCUUUAGCCCAGUGCCAGUACAUGAUUGUAGCUGAUGUAUAGAGGCAAGCAAAAGAUAGGAAUGUAGAGUUGAUCUGCACCACUAGCACACUGCUUUUUAGGCUAGGGUUGUGGACUUCCUCCACCAUCCAACUCUGCCUGGGCUUAGAUGGAUGGGACAUACCAUCUUAUAGAAUUAUCCCUGGCUUCUUUUCUAAAGACAUAGCACCACAAUGAAACAGAAGAGGAAGAGACAGGCUCUAGUAGGAGCUACAGUGAUAUUCUUGCCUUUCUUCAGCUCCAAAAGUAAUCAGUUUUGCCCUAGCUCAAUGUCUGCUUGUCUCCUUAUGUCAGUCUUAAUUAACAGCAACAACAGAAGUCCUCAGAGGACUGAGCUCACCAUAAGAAAGGGAUCAUAGAGGUCAUCUAAUUCACACAUACCCCAAGUCCUGCCAAGCUCCUGUGUGGGGCUAUACCUAAAACAAGUUCUAUGUGCAGGGCUUGUCAGGAAAAGUCAUCCUGUUGUUUUUCCCACUCAGGGAACCUGGAGUGCAAAAGAGCAAAGUAAUCAGCAACUCAGCUUUUCUGGCCUUCCUGCCACAUGCAUAUACACGUCUCACAAAGCCUUCUUCCCCAAGUCCUAGGCUCCAACUCAAUUCUUAUCCUUGGUUCAAAGUUACUCACUGAGUGUGGGAUACACAGUCACACAUAAACACACAGACAUGCACACGCACACACAAACACACACAUACACAAACACACACAAAAACAAACACACACAAACACACACAAAAACAAACACACACAAAAACAAACACACACAUACUCAGGCACUCACAUGCUCCUGAUGCUAAGAGCUAAAAUAUCUAGCAAAGAACUGUGUAGGAUACAGAUUCUUCACUCAUAGCUGACUAAGGUGAUUUUAAUGUGGAUGUUUAUAUUUAAGAAAGGUAUUAAAUAUGCAAGUAUCACUUAAAUAUUCCAGGCCAAUUUCAGUUUAAUGACUAUGACCACAAAUGGAUCAGAGCUGCUGCAAAAGUAGACACUCUUAGAACUUAUAAUACAGGAUCUGUUGAUCAUUCUGGGAGGGGACAUAGCUUUCUAGAGUGGUGUGAAGGGUACUAGAUGAUAAGCAAUAUUGUGAGGCAUAGAGGGUGAGAAUAAGGGAAACAUUCCUUUUGAAUUUUUGUUUUAUUCUCUUAGCUAUGUAAGGUAUGUUAGUUAUGUAAUGUAUACUAAUUACUUUAACCAAGAAAAUGUUAUGAGACAAUUAUUUUAAAAGAAAUGGAAAUAUAAAUGUUGUAAAACAUAACCAGGGAGAAUAUUAAAAGGUAAGGAGUGGGAAAGAAGAUGGAUAAUGGAGAUAGAGGAAAGCAAAUUGAAAUUAAAAAUGGGGCAAACAAGUGUCAAAGAAAAAUAAAAGGAAUGAUCUUAGAAAGUUAAAUGAGUGAAAAACAUAUGGAAGAGUCAUGACAAGGAAACAGAAAGACAGUCUGAAAGAGCCAGCACAACAGGAUAAUGAUCAUCUUCUAGAAGGUGUAACUUAAACCCUUCCAUCCCUAGGAAGGAUUUGAUUCCAAAAAAUGGAGUCCAGAAUAAGAGGCAAAGUCAGCUCAUAGUGGAGAAAUACAACAAGCACAAGACUAAGGUUAACAUCAUUGGGUCCCAACUGAGGUCCAUUCUAUAAAACACCUAGCCACUGCCUCAGAACUAUCAAUUGAAAACAAAAUAAUUGAAAACAAAAAGUCAAACAAAUCACUGCCCAAGCAAGAAGGGUCUAGGGAGAUGUGAGAAGUGUCAUUGUAGAAUCCUAGAUGGGAUACAGGAAUAGAAAGAAAGGACAUCGAAUGGAAACUACAGGCAUCUGAAUAGAGAGCUGUCUUUACUUAAGAUAUGAUAGAUAAUAAAAUGUAUAAAAAUAGGUAUCAUUGAUGAGAGAUGUUAUUAUUAGAGAAAGCCAGGUGUUGAGGAUGUUUAAUCCUCUGUACCACCUUUGUAACAUCUCUGAAUCUGAAACUGCAUUAAAAUAAAGAUUCUGCUUCAAGUUUAAAGACAAUGGAAAAAAACAUGGUAAAAUGAUGGAGAAGAAGAGAAAAACGGAUCUCUAUCUCUCUCCUUUUUGAGAUAGGAUGAUGUCACUGUGUAACUCACACUGGCCUUGAACUCAUAAUUCCCCUGCGUCCACAUUCUGAGUGCCAAGAUUACCAAGGUGAACCACCACAGAUGGCUAAGAGACAAAGAUUUUUUAAUUAAAGCUAGCAAUAUAGAUAAAGAAAAUUUUUAAAGAAAAAAAUCUACC
ensembl:lincRNA 5330434G04Rik RIKEN cDNA 5330434G04 gene